GAGCUGCCACAGACCAGGCUGAGGGUCCAUGGUAGAGCAUCUGCAUGAGUAGGUCUGGCAGAAGCACAGCCGUCUCCUUAUUGGCUGGUGGACACGUGGGAAACCACUCUGACUGAUGCAGGAAAGAAGGGCGAGCCGGUACUAGAAGUAGCUGUGCUGGCUGGAGGUGGCAAUUCUGAAAGUGAUUGUAAUUGUAAUUGGGAGGAACCAUGAGGACAUCCGAGGGGGCUUUCAUCACGCUCUUGUGGCUGCCGCUGCACUGGCUCAGCCGAGGAGAGAAUGUGGAGCAGCAUCCUUCCACCCUGAGUGUCCAGGAGGGAAACAGCUGUGUUAUCACCUGUAGUUACUCAGACAGUGCCUCAAACUACUUCCCUUGGUAUAAGCAAGAACUUGGAAAAGGUCCCCAGCUCAUUAUAGACAUUCGUUCAAGUGUGGCCAAAAAAGAAGACCAAAGACUCACUGUUUUACUGAAUAAGACGGCCAAGCAUCUGUCCCUGCACAUCGCAGCCGCCCAGCCUGCAGACUCAGCUGUCUACUUCUGUGCAGCAAGUGCACAUUGCGUCCCAGACACCUGCUGCCUGCACCCAAACCUGUGACUGGGCAGCCCCUGUCCUUUGACACAGAACUUCAAGUAGAUCGUUUGUGCUAUUGUUUGUCUGCAGGCGGAAGCUAAUGUGUUAGACAUUAAAGCAUAACUUAAGACAACAGGGAUCGAGAUGACCCAGACAGGGUUAGAACAUUUUCUUGGAUGAUUGCUGCUCAAUGGAAUUCUUGAAGGGAGUUAGUAAGGUUUUAUUUUGAAAUUCAGGCUUUAAAUGUGAGUUUACAUAUGCUAUUCAGAUGCCUUUCCCAUAAAUAACCCCUUAGUACUAAUAUUUCAGUCCUUACUAUGGAUGAGAUGGGCAUUUAAAUGUUGUGUUUCCAAGCAGCAUUUAUUAUUUUUCUGAUUUUACAACAUUACAUGUCAAAUAUAGAAAUACAUAAAGUGAAAAAUAUGAAAGUCAUACUUCUAUAAUUGGAUAUUAUUGCUAAUAUUCAUUUUAGUCUUAAAAAAUCAUAUUCUGAUUAGGAACAUGAUUUUUUCACUUAAUAUAAUUUAAUUUGAGCAUUCCUUCCAUCAUGUUUUCACCUCUAACAUCUACUUUAUUUUAUUUUUAAUGUUUUAUUUAACAUCUGCUUUACAAUAGCUCUGUGAAAUAUUUUAAUUAAGUACAGUUUCAUACUAAUUUUCUUCCUCUGUAUUUGGGACAAAAUUUGACAGCCAUAUAUGUGAUUUGAUCACUUUCUCUUUCAGAAAAUGUGGCAUGGGUUUUCCUUUAGAGCCCAGUGAUGGUGUCUAUUAUUUGUGUGUUUGAGAGAAAUUAAGAUAGGGAAUGACUUGACAAUAUGAACUUAAGAUAAAACUCAGAAAUCUAUUCUCAUUUACAAAAUUCUCUAAGUAUAUGUUCACAAUUACUCUCUCAUAGAAUUUAGAAGACAGAAUUUUGUAUUUCAUUCACUGCUGUAUUCGCAGUACCUAGCACAAACUUUUUCAUAUAAUGGGCUAUCCGUAGAUGUUUUUUAAAGAAAGAAGGAAAGAUGAAUUCUGCUACUUAAACAUACUUUUAAUCUAAUUUUUAUGAUGGAAUUAAAUGUAUAAAUUGAUUGUGAAAAAUAAAAGUCCUUAAUGUGUAUAUCUGAUUAUUUGUUUCAGAGCGUUCUGUUUCUUUCCAUUCAUAUGUCUUCCUUUCUUAAUAAAGCUCUGUGG